GACGAACGCUGGCGGCGUGCUUAACACAUGCAAGUCGAGCGGUAAGGCCCUUUCGGGGGUACACGAACGGCGAACGGGUGAGUAACACGUGGGUGACCUGCCCUUAGCUCUGGGAUAAGCCUGGGAAACUGGGUCUAAUACCGGAUAUGACUCCAUGACGCAUGUUGUGGGGUGGAAAGCCUUGUGCGGCUAGGGAUGGGCCCGCGGCCUAUCAGCUUGUUGGUGGGGUGAUGGCCUACCAAGGCGACGACGGGUAGCCGGCCUGAGAGGGCGACCGGCCACACUGGGACUGAGACACGGCCCAGACUCCUACGGGAGGCAGCAGUGGGGAAUCUUGCGCAAUGGGCGAAAGCCUGACGCAGCGACGCCGCGUGAGGGAUGACGGCCU
rnacentral:rRNA from 1 species